rnacentral:rRNA from 1 species
GUAGUUUGACUCCGUGGCUACGAGGACGACGCUGGCGGCGUGCCUAACACAUGCAAGUCGAACGGACUGAUUCCCUUCGGGGAUGAAAGUUAGUGGCGGACGGGUGAGUAACGCGUGAGUAACCUGCCUUUCAGAGGGGGAUAACGUUUGGAAACGAACGCUAAUACCGCAUAACGUACAGUUGUCGCAUGGCAGCAGUACCAAAGGAGCAAUCCGCUGGAAGAUGGACUCGCGUCUGAUUAGAUAGUUGGCGGGGUAACGGCCCACCAAGUCGACGAUCAGUAGCCGGACUGAGAGGUUGAACGGCCACAUUGGGACUGAGACACGGCCCAGACUCCUACGGGAGGCAGCAGUGAGGGAUAUUGCACAAUGGGCGCAAGCCUGAUGCAGCAACGCCGCGUGAAGGAUGACGGUUUUCGGAUUGUAAACUUCUGUUCUUAGUGAUGAUAAUGACAUUAGCUAAGGAGAAAGCCACGGCUAACUACGUGCC